rnacentral:lncRNA from 1 species
GGUUACUAAAUGAUAUUUUAUUAUGCAUUUUUGCUGACAAAUAAAGUUUGGAAAAUAAAGGAAGAAGUGGGCAGAGAUAGACAUCGCCCCAGAUUUUGAGUGAAAAAACAUUUGGUCACAGUUUUUCAAAGGAAAACAAAGGUCUGUAAUCAGGAGACUGAUAUGAACCCGCAAGGAGAUAAGGUUCAGUAGCAAAAGCAGUAAUCAUAACAAAAUGUACAGGACAGGAUGAUUUCCACACUGAGUCACAAAUUAAAAUGGUGGGCCAAGUCUGCUGAGCAUCCUCUGUGCACCAACAGGAGUCCUGCACUGAUGUAAAAGAUGCAAGAAGGAGAUGGAAGAAAUACUACAGAUGCAAAUUAAAUUGCGAUUUUGUUCAGUUGACUGCAAGAGUACAUCACAUGAGGAGGAUUAUGACAGAAGACUGGAAUUUGCUCAGAAAGGAAGGGGAAAAAAAGUCUAUCAUCUACAUUUAAAGCCCAGAAUGUAACAACUUUUACUUUUUCACCAUCAGAAAAGAAAUAUAUCUUGCCAAAGCAAGGCACAGGACAGAUGGCCAAGCCAGGGAAAGAAGGGGGUGGGAUGAGGCUUGCUUUCAAAAUAUCACAGCCUUUCAAAGCCAGAGGAUGUGACAGGCAAUGAAAAAUGCGAGUGGGGUAGGGAAAAUAUAGGUCAUCUGCCCAACCUCUUGGCAUUGGCUUUAUGGUAUAAGGCAUAGGGACAACCAGCAGCAGGGAGGGCACCUAAUGCUCCUACAAUGGAUUUAGGGAAAGGGAACUAUCAAAAUCCAUCAGGAGAUGGACACUGGAUUCCAGUAAAGCCAACGUGAAAACUGACUCAUCUUAGAGGAGUGAGCACAAACUCUCCCCAAAGCAGAUGGCAACACAGGAAGGUGUCAGGAGUAAUGGGCAAAACCAUGAGUUCUUCAUAAGCCCAGAGCCAAGCAAGGAAUUGUACAAAAAGCAGAUGUGAGAUCAGAGUUUACUAAUAAUUAAAUAAGCACAGGCAUAUACAGGCAAGGCUCAGAAUAACCAAGAUAGUCAUAUCAAAUUAGCAGCUGAUACACUUGUCAUUACUUUUUCUAAUACUGUAGGAAGGAGGUUGAUUUCUUCUUCAUGAAAGUCUUGACCUGUCUUUGUUCAUUUUCCUCCCAACUAAUAUAUGUUGCUUAGGCUAGCAAAGAGGAUACAUGAUAAACAUCACAACUACACUUCACAAAACUUGGUGGAGAAAAGGUCAAUAAUCGCUCAGGUUCAACAGCAGCAGAACAAAAAAAAA